ensembl:lncRNA
GUAGCCUUCAUGGCCCCAUUUGCCAGUAAAUUACAAUGCUUUAUAUUCUGAUUAUCUUAUACUCACCUGAGUGUAAAGGAAACCUUGCCAAUGGUUGUUUGGCCCCCAAAUAAUACAGAGCACAUGACGUUUAGGAAAAGGGAACCUCCCAGCCAUGAGGGCCCCCAAAGGGGUUAUAGGCUUUUGUGAGCACUUCCCCAUUGUCACUGCUGUUGACAAAGGAGCAGAGCAGUCAGGUCACAAGAAGAUUGUCCUGUGUUCUUGGAAACAAUCUAUUACUGCACUCCGGUCUGGAUGGCCAAACUGAGAAGAACCAGCUACAGACGAAAAGGAGGCGCUUGGGGAAUGCUUAGCCUGCCUGGAGUCAACAUAAACUAUUUGAGAUCAAUCUAAUGCAUGAAAAAUAAAUAAGCAAAAACGUAAUAUGUGGGCUUUCCAAAGUGUCAGCUGAAAUGACUCACAUUUUCAGCUAAUAAAAAUAAAUGUGUUGGGUUUGUUGUGAACAGCAAAUGGCUUAACCCAAGUCUGAUGCUUCGGGCAGUGAAAGCCUCUAAAGUAACAAAACUUCUAGUGUCCACCUUACAGAAAUGCAGUGUGUCCAACUGGUAGCAAAUGUGCAGUGAAAAGAAUUGAAACCUGGCAGUCUGAUGAUCGGAUCAACCUUGGCGGUUUUCUGCUUGGCUGGGACCUGGGACCCGGGAUCCUUCACUGCAGUGCUUGCACCUGGACAAAUAUCUCCCAGAACAACAAAAUACAAAGAAACAUUAAGGGACUGAAAAUAACUGCCUGCAUGCAGCAGUUGGGACAAAUUAUGGACAAAAGAUACAUUAAGACCAAAACCAAACUUUCACUUCUGAAGAGCAAAGAGCAAAUGCAGGGUGCUAUGCAUGCCCUCUGCACUCAAUACCACAAACGAAGUGGGGAGACCACUAAGCCACCCCGCCAGUCCCACCCAUGAACACACUCCUACUCUCAUCCCAUAUAAGGAACCAUCCCGCCUG